GCUUCGGUGGUGCAGUGGUAGAGCACGCCUCUCCGGAUAAGGUGAAACGUGGGUUCGAUUCCCGCCUGAGGCG